AAACCAGCACCUCAAGUGGUCAGGAUGAUUAUUGGGCCUAAAGCAUCCGUAGCCUGCUUUGUAAGUUUUCGGUUAAAUCCAUACGCUCAACGUAUGGGCUGCCGGAAAUACUGCAAAGCUAGGGAGUGGGAGAGGUAGACGGUACUCGGGAGGAAGGGGUAAAAUCCUUUGAUCUCUCGAUGACCACCUGUGGCGAAGGCGGUCUACCAGAACACGUCCGACGGUGAGGGAUGAAAGCUGGGGGAGCAAACCGGAUUAGAAACCCCAGUAGUCC
rnacentral:rRNA from 1 species